UAAGUAUUUAGCAAGUUAGUGACAUAUUUAGUUUAAAUGUUUAGCUUUAAACUAGAUAUUUAGCUCGCUAUUUAGCUUCACACAUUGUUUGCUAGCUAAAUAUUUAGCUUCAUGCUAAAUAUCCAGAGGCUAGUGUUUAAGAUUAUGAGACGUGUUCAUAUCGGUAAGAUUUUAUCUGUACCAUUUCGCAACUUUUCCAAACUCCCGUUGUCCCAAUUUUUCACCAACAGAUCUACUUUUCUGGGAAUCGUGCUAGCGGAGCUGCUUCGUGUGAUGAUUCAGUGAGACUUACAGCGCGGAUAUUUUCCCACCUCUCCCUGCAGCGUGUUUGUGUGCGACUGAAGCCCAGUGGGAAGCGGAGGCCUGGCGCAGAUAAACAAAGUGAGGGAGAAAAUGGCGGACAUAACUGGAACGGCGCAGCGACACCCAGAAUGGCGCUGGUGCUUUCCUAACAUCCAGCGUCACUUCACGUCCCGUUCAAGUGUCUCCGCUGGGAUGCAGUAACUUUUAAAGAGCAUUUCUGGCACUUAGCAGCGUGAAGCUCUGCCAAAUGGAAGAAGAAAAAACCCUACGGAGAGAAACGGCGCCCUCAAUCAGGAAGUGGCAGCUUUUAGCUGCGCCAAAGGAAUCAAGCAACUUCCUGGUCAGGUUGCCAUGGUUACUGGAAACUCGGCCAGCUGCCGCAGCCGUUAGCCGUUAGCCGUUAUCGGCGACGGUUAAGAUGGAAGAAUUAAAGACAGACUUUUAAAUGUAAGCAAAACGUCAUUACUGUGUUUAAUGUAUGUUUCUGUUAUGUUCAGAGUUUGUAUACAACAGCGUACUGAGUUGUUUUUUUUACUUGGAAAAAA